CGUUUCCCCUUCACAUUGAACCUAUGUCCUCUGCUGAAGUCUGACGAUGGGUCAUGACCCCGAAAUGUCACCCAUUCCUUCUCUCCAGAGAUGCUGCCUGUCCCGCUGAGUUACUCCAGCAUUUUGUGUCUAUCU